GACGAACGCUGGCGGCGUGCUUAACACAUGCAAGUCGAACGGAAAGGCCUGCUUUCCCUUGUGGAUUGCGGGUACUCGAGUGGCGAACGGGUGAGUAACACGUGAGUGAUCUGCCCCCAACUUGGGUAUAAGCCUGGGAAACUGGGUCUAAUUCCCGAUAGGACUGCAGGGUGGUGCCUGUGGUGGAAAACGAUUUUCUAGUGGUUGGGGAUGAGCUCGCGGCCUAUCAGCUUGUUGGUGGGGUAAUGGCCUACCACGGCGGCGACGGGUAGCCGGCCUGAGAGGGUGGACCGCCACAUUGGGACUGAGAUACGGCCCAGACUCCUACGGGAGGCAGCAGUGGGGAAUAUUGCACAAUGGGCGGAAGCCUGAUGCAGCGACGCCGCGUGGGGGAUGACGGCCUUCGGGUUGUAAACUCCUUUCGACCGCGAGGAAGCCACCUGGUUGGAAGGGUGGUGACGGUAGUGGUAGAAGAAGCACCGGCUAACUACGUG
rnacentral:rRNA from 1 species